AACGAACGCUGGCGGCAUGCCUAACACAUGCAAGUCGAACGAGACCUUCGGGUCUAGUGGCGCACGGGUGCGUAACGCGUGGGAAUCUACCCGCAGGUUCGGAAUAACUCAGAGAAAUUUGAGCUAAUACCGGUUGAUGACAUACGGCCAAAGAUUUAUCGCCUGAGGAUGAGCCCGCUUAGGAUUAGGUAGUUGGUGAGGUAAAGGCUCACCAAGCCGACGAUCCUUAGCUGGUCUGAGAGGAUGAUCAGCCACACUGGGACUGAGACACGGCCCAGAAUCCUACGGGAGGCAGCAGAGGGGAAUAUUGGACAAUGGGCGAAAGCCUGAUCCAGCAAUGCCGCGUGAGUGAUGAAGGCCUUAGGGUUGUAAAGCUCUUUUACCCGGGAUGAUAAUGACAGUACCGGGAGAAUAAGCUCCGGCUAACUCCGUG
rnacentral:rRNA from 1 species